rnacentral:rRNA from 1 species
GACGGACGCUGGCGGCGUGCUUAACACAUGCAAGUCGAACGAUGAACCCGGAGCUUGCUCCGGUGGAUUAGUGGCGAACGGGUGAGUAACACGUGAGUAACCUGCCCUUGACUCUGGGAUAACUGCGGGAAACUGUAGCUAAUACCGGAUACGACCCUCGGCGGCAUCGCCAGGGGGUGGAAAGAAUUUCGGUCAAGGAUGGACUCGCGGCCUAUCAGCGAGUUGGUGAGGUAACGGCUCAACAAGGCGACGACGGGUAGCCGGCCUGAGAGGGUGAGCGGCCACACUGAGGAUGAGACAGGGCCCAGACGCCUACGGGAGGCAGCAGUGGGGAAUAUUGCACAAUGGGCGCAAGCCUGAUGCAGCAACGCCGCGUGAGGGAUGACGGCCUUCGGGUUGUAAACCUCUUUUAGUAGGGAAGAGGCGAAAGUGACGGUACCUGCAGAAAAAGCACCGGCUAACUACGUGCCAGCCGCCGCAGUAA